AUCUUUGUAGCUAAUUUUUUUUCUUCAACUACUAGUCGGUCUUCACAAGACAUUCAAUGAAUCUUUAUCUCCUUCUGAAUGACCACACAGCAUCCAGCUUCCUGUGGGGCUGUCCUUUUGGCUCCCUUGCUAAAACCAAAGCUGGUGAAACAAGAGGGACAUCUGGUUCAUGGCUAAUGCUAAUGUUGUCAAAACAGGUACAUAACUACAUUCAGGGACUGGAUAGUCUGUUGAAGCUAUCACAGUUAUACCAUCCUCCUGAUGCAUUUAUCCACCUAUUAUGACAGCCUGUUUCAAUCAUAACACAAUAUGGAAAGCACACAGAAACAUAAGGGACCAUGCAGAAAAGUCCACAUCCCAAAAGACAUGUUCUGCCAAGCAUGACCCCAAGGUUGGGAAAGGAAAGCAUCAGAGGCACCUCAAAGGGAACAAGGAGUCCCUUCAAGAGCAUUUGGAGGGACCAAGAGCCAGAGGAACUGUAGUUACCAAAUACAGGUUAUCUUAGCAAAAUUCUCAAACUGAUUAAUAGACUAAAAUUAGCUCACUUACUCCUACAGUUGAUCCAAUUUGGAGCUCUCCAUCGACUCCAGGUGAUGAAGAAGCUUCUCUAGAGACCCUCUGGCACUAGUCACACCCAGGUGAAUACACCACUGAGGCAGCACACAGAAACACCCUCUGAUCCCACCUCAAGCAAACAUGCUGGAGUCCCACAGAGAAGGGGAGGUGUGGGGGGCUGCCUUUCUAGGGGCUGCACUCUCUGUGUGUAAUCUCACACUUUUCCUGUUUUCCUUUCUAAUCCUUGUUUCUCCUCGACACCCUUCUGAAUUAACAGCUACUGACUGUCAUAGCCCAUGUUAGGUAAGCUUGACUUGCUGUUACUCCAGCACAGGAUUUAUCAUUGAAACUGCUCCAGCUGGGAUGAACCCAUAUCACAGGAGGAUAGAGAGAUGUCUUACGUGUUUUUUUACUUUUUUUUUCCCUGGCCAGAUAUUAAAUACCUAUUUUGCGAUUCAGGAAUAUUUUGGGUGAAAAAAAAGGAGAAAAGAAUCAAUUAUUUUUCUUAAAAUGAUCAAAUUAGAAUCAAUUACUUUGCUUCAAAUGACCAAAUUAUUCUUAGCAGCAUUUUAAAAUACAGUUUGUAGCACAUCCCUCUAGGGACCCACAUCACAUGCUCUCCCAUCCAGAGUAUUUUCCAUCGGUUUUGGUUACAGUGCAGUUGGGAAAUGUACAUGAAAAACUUUUGCUCCUUUUCUACAAAUUUCAGUGCAGCAUUUGCUGGCAGAACAAUUGACAUAUGGAGAGACAUUCUUAUCCAAAUAGCUGUUAAUUGCUUUAAAAAAAAAAAAAUCAUGCAUAUGCAGUGGAAAAUGUAAUGAGGGCUCACAAAAGCUACUGUGUGAAGCUGUUAAAGCUGGGAGCUGUAUUUAAAGAUGCCUCUAAUGCACAGUCGUUCCAGCAUGGAGGAAAUGUCCAUUGCCUACCUGUACCCAAAGGUCAUACUUACAGCACUGGUUUUGAGAUGUGCAGAACUUACUGGAAAAAGCAGGAUGGAUUUGGGAUGCUGGCUGUUUGAGGCCACAUGAGUAAGGACAUGGCAUAGCAUAGGCUGAUCAUGGGAAAGAAGAUAAAGAUGCUAGAAAAGGGGUGGACCUGGAAACAGGCUACUGAUGGCAUGAUGCAGGAGGAAAGAAGACCCAAGAGAGGGACUCACAAUAAGAGAGGGACAGAAGAAACUGUUGUAAAUGUAGGGCAAAUUGCAAAACAUUGUUAGAGCUGGGAAGUUAUGAUUGUUUCCAACAGGCUUACAGAACGAAAUGGAAUGAAGAACAAAGAGAAAUCAAAAGCAAAGACUCAUUCCCCCAAAAGCUCCCCCCCUCC